AGUGAACGCUGGCGGUAGGCCUAACACAUGCAAGUCGAACGGCAGCACAGUAAGAGCUUGCUCUUAUGGGUGGCGAGUGGCGGACGGGUGAGGAAUACAUCGGAAUCUACUUUUUCGUGGGGGAUAACGUAGGGAAACUUACGCUAAUACCGCAUACGACCUACGGGUGAAAGCAGGGGAUCUUCGGACCUUGCGCGAUUGAAUGAGCCGAUGUCGGAUUAGCUAGUUGGCGGGGUAAAGGCCCACCAAGGCGACGAACCGUAGCUGGUCUGAGAGGCUGAUCAGCCACACUGGAACUGAGACACGGUCCAGACUCCUACGGGAGGCAGCAGUGGGGAAUAUUGGACAGUGGGCGCAAGCCUGAUCCAGCCAUACCGCGUGGGUGAAGAAGGCCUUCGGGUUGUAAAGCCCUUUUGUUGGGAAAGAAAAGCAGCAGGUUAAUACCCCGCUGUUCUGACGGUACCCAAAGAAUAAGCACCGGCUAACUUCGUG
rnacentral:rRNA from 1 species